GAUGAUUUAGGACUCAUUCUGUGUAUAAGCGCUCAGCUGACGGUGUGGCUGUGGACAGGGGGUAAAACUGCGAGGAUUAGGACUCACAGACAAGGUCAACUUAAUACAACGCAGAUGGAUUCUGGAAGGAUUGGAGGCUAACGGUGGUCAACACGCUAACUGGUUAUUGUCCACACAGCUUUACUUGUUGUCAAGUCUCGAUUUAGCCACGUAACUGCAGGGAACAGGUUUACCAAUAAGCUCCAUGGCCACAAUGGUGUCCUGUUAUAGGAAUUAAUAUGAAGAAAAGGUCUCAGACAACACACCUCCUGGGAAUAGCAUUGUCAAUAUUUGAGACUUAUUAUUUUAGUCUUUAGACAGUUUAAAACUAUUAUAUAUAACUGAGCUAUUCUUUGUACCUGUGAUGUACAUUACUUUCUUAGCCAUCUCUCUCUUUAUCUCUUCAUCUCUUCAUCUUAAUUCCGACUGGGUCCUUAAUUGCCGUUGAAAGUGACCUCUCUGAUUCAAGAUUGUGUAUUGAGCAAAUAAUCCAUUCCCAUCCCCCUUUGAUUCAGACAAUAAAAGGUUAGAGCUGUUGGUUGAUCCCUCUUCAGCUGAACCUUUAGUAUGCAAAAAGCCUCACGGAGCGAUCACACACACACACAAGACGUGCAUGUGCAUAGCAAUUAAAGGUUCAUCUUUCAUUACCAGUAGUAGCCUACUUAUGUUGUUUAUGUGACCCUUUGUCUUUCAUCUCUGUCUCCUCUCUCCACAGUACGGUUCAAUCAGCACCACUGUGAUUUUUGGUCCUUUUUAACUUGCUGCUGUUAAAUCUAUGCCUGAACUAUGAAAUGUGAGCCACUGCUUAAGUGCUUUAUGAAUUUUGCAUGUUGUGGAAAGGAGAGUAAUUGGCUGGGCCAUCCAUCAGGCCUGUCGGCUCGGCAGCUCAGGGACCGGUCUCCUCCAUGACUCAGAGAGGACCCUUUUUAUUGCAGACACAGUAGCUUUUUAUAGUAUUCAACAUAUACUCAAUUCAGCCCUAGAACGCUCUAGGGACUGUGCAAAUCCUUACUGUGUUGGAAUGUAUGAAGGUGGUAUAAAGGUCGCUAAAAAUGGCAUGUUAAAGAGUGUG